UCACGAUCACCUGUGUAAUAAUCAUAUAAAAAGUUUAGUAUUUUUGUUAUUGUGCAACCAGCACUGAUGUUCUGUGCAACCACACAGUACAUUUUGUGCAACUAACUAGUUGUUGUGUGCAAGUUAAGUUGAAAAAAAUACCUGCAGUAGCACGGCCUGUCAUGGUACUUGGAUUGUAGUCGCCUAUGGGCAGAACAUGAAAAACAAGUUAGAUUUUUAGCUUGAUCCUCAAACUAACACAGCGCAUGCAACUAGGCAGCAUGUUUCUGUUCAACUGGGCACUAUGAUAUGUGCAACUAAAGUCACUCACCAUAGUUUUUGUUUUGGAGUCGGUGAAGGUACUAACCUGGGUUAUGAGCCCCCUGAGUCCUACCUGUAGGUCCAUUGGGAGUAGCACAAAGGGCACUGCUAGUUGGGCCUGGCGGGGGAGGAGGUAUUUGAGGGUUGGCAUCACCUAUAGGCAGAACAGGACAAACAAGUCAGUUGUGUUUAUCUUUUUGAUGCUCGAACUAACACAGCAUGCGCAACUAGGUAGCCUGUUCGGUGCAACUGAGCACCAUGAUGUGUGCAAUUGGAGUUACAGACCUAGUUUGAUGGGGAGUUGGGGGCAUGUAAUUACCUAGACGACGAGCCCCCUGAGUGCUGCCUGUAGGGCCAUUGGGAGGAGCAUGCAGGGGAGGAGGUGGCGGAGGAUGCC
rnacentral:lncRNA from 1 species